UGCCUUGAAGAUCGGAGCGCUUGCACUCUGUGAAACAAGAUACAGGCUAGCGGCGGACGGGUGAGUAACACGUGGGUAACCUGCCCAAGAGAUCGGGAUAACACCUGGAAACAGAUGCUAAUACCGGAUAACAACAGAUGAUGCCUAUCAACUGUUUAAAAGAUGGUUCUGCUAUCACUCUUGGAUGGACCUGCGGUGCAUUAGCUAGUUGGUAGGGUAACGGCCUACCAAGGCGAUGAUGCAUAGCCGAGUUGAGAGACUGAUCGGCCACAUUGGGACUGAGACACGGCCCAAACUCCUACGGGAGGCAGCAGUAGGGAAUCUUCCACAAUGGACGCAAGUCUGAUGGAGCAACGCCGCGUGAGUGAAGAAGGGUUUCGGCUCGUAAAGCUCUGUUGUUGGUGAAGAAGGACAGGGGUAGUAACUGACCUUUGUUUGACGGUAAU
rnacentral:rRNA from 1 species